GCCAGGUGUGGUGGUGCACACCUGUAAUCCCAGCGGCAUGGGAGGCUGAGGCAGGAGGAUGGUGAGUUCAAAGCCAGCUUCAGCAACUUAACGAGGCCCUAAGCAACUCAGUGAGACCCUGUCUCCA
rnacentral:sRNA from 1 species